AAUAGCAGGGGAUGCCUCUUGUCAUCGUGGCAGCUUUUUUCUCUUCCAAGCACCUUUAUGUAGAAGUAAGCCUCAAGUUGACUGGGACUUACUCCCAGGGAAGAAGAUGCAAACUCGAGCAGAUCUUACCUGGAGACCCUGUGGGGAGACCCACCGUCUCCGGGUGGGGCGGGGAGACUCGGCGACUACAGAGACAGAAGCAGGGACGCGGAGAAGUGCCGCGGGAUUUCCCACCUUCCUUUUGGAGAAUAAAAGCGGAAUUCAGCCUCAUUUGUAUCAACCCAAGAUGUACUACUUAAAUGUAGAAACAUUUUUGUUGUUCACGCUUAAUGGACUUAAUACCC